AGGGUUCCAUGUGAACAGCAGUUGAACAUGGGUCAGUCGGUCCUAAGAGAUGGGCGAGCGCCGUUCGGAAGGGACGGGCGAUGGCCUCCGUCGCCCUCGGCCGCAUGCUCGUCCCUCGCGAUCGAGAUCGGUCAGUCCCGACCGAUGGCGGAAGACGGGCGCCGGCGGCACCUUCCCCGGUGGGGGGGCGGGGGUCCAG
rnacentral:rRNA from 1 species